rnacentral:rRNA from 1 species
UACGAAGGGAGCUAGCGUUGUUCGGAAUUACUGGGCGUAAAGGGCGCGUAGCGGUGCCAUAAGUCAGAUGUGAAAGCCCCGGGCUUAACCUGGGAGGUGCAUUUGAUACUGUGGGACUAGAGGUUGAGAGAGGAAAGUGGAAUUACGAGUGUAGAGGUGAAAUUCGUAGAUAUUCGUAAGAACACCAGUGGCGAAGGCGACUUUCUGGCUCGACACUGACGCUAAGGCGCGAAAGCGUGGGGAGCAAACAGGGAUUAAGAAACCCUUGU